rnacentral:rRNA from 1 species
UACAGAGGGGGCAAGCGUUAUUCGGAAUUAUUGGGCGUAAAGGGCGCGUAGGCGGCGAUUCAAGUGGCGGGUGAAAUCCCUCGGCUUAACCGAGGAAGUGCUUUCCAAACUGCCGGACUUGAGUACGCAAGAGGAACGCGGAAUUCCCGGUGUAGAGGUGAAAUUCGUAGAUAUCGGGAGGAACACCAGCGGCGAAGGCGGCGAUCUGGGGCGAUACUGACGCUGAGGUGCGAAGGCGUGGGGAGCAAACAGG